GAUGAUGUCCAUCUCAUUGAAGAAGUAUUAGGCAUGUGCCUAAUAAGAGUUUUCUUUGGUUUGGUAGCCAACCUUGUUGACUUGGUUUGGUUGGUAGCCAACCUUGUUGACUUGGUUUGGUUGGUAGCCAACUUUGUUGAAUUGUGAAAAAUGUGUGUAAAUUGUCAAAUAUUGUAGGCUUUAGAGGGUGAAGCUUUGGCUAUAAAAGGAGAGCUUCAACUCUCAUUUCUUCACACCAACAAAGAGAGAAAGAAAGAGUGAGGUUUCACAGACAAGGUAUAAGAAAAUAGUCUGUGAGGAAAAUAGAGAGUGAGCGAUAUUGUAGUGAGGUGGGAAUAUCAAAAGAGGGUUAUUUCUUUUGAGUGUUGUAGUGGUCUUUGGAGUAUUUACCUCCGACCUACAAAGUGUAAAAUUCCUUACUAUAGUGAUAUCAGUUGCUCCUCUCGGGGUCGUGGUUUUUUUUCCCUUAUUCAGAAGGGUUUUCCACGUAAAAAUCUUGGUGUCAUUGUUACUCUUUUAUUCUUGUUAAUUACCGUAUCUCGGUGCUACAUUAUUAUUCCGCUUUAUUACCGUGAAUAUUAUUUUGGUAAGGGGUUUAUUCCCAACAACUGGUAUCAGAGCACAGGUUCUGCUCGUUCACUGAAAUACUAUUCACUGUCGGUAGUACUAUACUUGGUGAAAAAUAAAAAUGUCCGGAGUAAAGUACGAGGUAGCAAAAUUCAAUGGAGAUAACGGUUUCUCAACAUGGCAAAGAAGGAUGAGAGANNN
rnacentral:lncRNA from 1 species